rnacentral:tRNA from 1 species
GCGAGUGUGUUGGAACUGGCAGACAAGAUAGACUUAGAAUCUAUUGCUUCGGCGUGCAGGUUCAAAUCCUGUCACUCGCACCA